CGGGACCGCGGCGGUGCCAGCCUGCGCUCACCGUGCGGCGGCGGCGGGACAGCGCUGGCCUGCGGGUAGCCGCGUUGGGGACCUUCACCGUCGGCUAGCGGCAGCGGAGCGACCGUGGGGCAAGCACGAAGCGGCUGAGCCCGCUGUAGGCGGCAACCGCCCCUGUCGGUGCUAGAGAGGGCCCCAGAGCUGUGCAAAUGCGGAAGGGAAAGCCUUUCCUGUGCGUGCGGCUGCUGCUGUCUGCCCCUGCCCGCAUCCCGGUCCCUGUGGGGAUCGAGGGCUUAUUGUCUCUCCUAAGUUUACGCCUUCCGUCGCCGGUACGGGCCGCUGUAAGGCUUCAGUGUGAAAAACGCAUAGACCAUGUGCUGCAGUGACCCUGUAUGUUGCUCACAAAUGGGUCAAGGAAACCACAAAUUAAAAAUGUUUUCAUGUCUCCCAGCAUUCUCCAGGAGCUUGGUAAGCUGUCAGUUUCCCACAGCCCUCUGGGAUUUCCUCCAAGCAGUAGAGGGAGAAGACAGUGAAGAAGCUCUCUCCAUAUCCUACAGUGAUCAGGAUUCAUGGUUCAGAUGGAGGGAGUGUGCAUGCCAGGUGUUCGAUGGCAUUAAAUUGGAUUAAUGGAAGACAACAUAAUGGUAUUGCUGUAUUGCUUACCUAAAUUGAUAGCAUAUAUGCAGAUGAACCACACUUUAUGUGAAGGAUUUUCAUCUUUCAAAUUGAGUUACUAUGGUUUUGUUGGAUUAAACAGUUUUUGGUGGGUUUUCUGUAAAUGAGAAAGAUUCAGUUUUUGUUUGGUUUUUUUUUAAUUUACUUUUUAAUGUAAAAACUGUUUGCCCCAAAUUAUAAGUUGCUGAUUGAAGUGAACAGCAAUGCUAGUGCUAAUCCCUACACUGCCUAGUGACUCUUAAAUGUUCCAGGCCUCUGAACAUUCUCAUCCAUGUGACUCAGCACAGAUUGGAAUGGAUCUGAUCUGGAGAUGUAGUAAAUUUAUAUCUUGCCAAGUUAGUUGAGUCACAGCUGAGGAGCACACAGGGUUUCCUUUGAUGGAACAUACACCUUCCUCCUAUUACAGGGUAACACCUAGCAUGCAGCCAGCACUUGUGUAGCUAGAAAAAGCAGGUAGGCAAGUAAGAGCAAGCGAUUGUCUUAAAUGUAGAGCUUCUUGAAAAUAAAAUUUGAAAUACAGCCCA
rnacentral:lncRNA from 14 species